UACAGAGGGUGCGAGCGUUAAUCGGAAUUACUGGGCGUAAAGCGUGCGUAGACGGUAGCGUAAGUCAGAUGUGAAAGCCCCGGGCUCAACCUGGGAACUGCAUUUGAGACUGCUCUGCUCGGGUGCGGAAGAGGGAAGCGGAAUUUCCGGUGUAGCGGUGAAAUGCGUAGAUAUCAGGAGGAACACCAUGCGAAGGCAGCUCGCUGGGACGGUACUGACGCUGAGACGCGAAAGCGUGGGGAGCAAACAG
rnacentral:rRNA from 1 species